UGGGUUGUGGCUCAGUGGUAGAGUGCUUACCUAGCAUGCGUGAGGCCCUGGGUUCGAUUCUCAGCACCACAU
rnacentral:tRNA from 1 species